CGUGCCUGCUGUGAAUGGUCGAGAUUUCACAACUCAGUGGACUACUCACAUCCCUGUACCCCUCCUCCACCCCUACAGCACCUGUUCGAUGUCAACGACAUCACUCAGCAAAACGCCUGUCACUCAGUCAGUCUACGGCAUAGCACAGGGCAAAUAUAGAUAUUCCCGAACUUCUGAAAGAGUGUCCAAAAAAACAAGCAGGUUGAGGCAGCAGUGAAUGAGACGGAGAGGGCAGAACAGACAGAAAGUGAAAGUUCAGCAGCAGCGGCAGUUAGCAACACUACAGGCGCUGUAGGUGAUGGAAAGAGACACAAUACAAGACACGGAGACAGAAAAAGAAGAAUAGGUGAUGGAGAGAGACACCAGACAAGACACGGAGACAGCAACAGAAGAAUAGGUGAUGGAGAGAGACACAAUACAAGACACGGAGACAGAAGAAGAAGAAUAGGUGAUGGAGAGAGACACCAGACAAGACACAGAGACAGCAACAGAAGAAUUGGUGAUGGAGAGAGACACCAGACAAGACACAGAGAUGGCAACAGAAGAAUUGGUGAUGGAGAGAGACACCAGACAAGUCACAGAGAUGGCAACAGAAGUAUAGGUGAUGGAGAGAGACACCAGACAAGGCACAGAGACAGCAACAGAAGGAUAGGGCAUGAUGGAGACACCAGAAGAACAAAAACAGGCCAUAUCAGAAGAGGAUAGAAAAAGGAGGCAAACAAGAACCUGAGACAAUAACGUCUUAAUGUUUACAUACUGUUUUAACCACUUCAUAUGUACACUACCAUUCAAAAGAUUGGGGUCACUUAGAAAUGUCCAUUUGUCCAUUAAAAUAACUAUAAAUUUAUCAGA